AGAUGGCACAGAUAUAAACUGCGUUUCUGCGCAGAACAUUGAUACAUUAAAAAACGUGCCUCAAAGUGUCGUAUUUGUUAACUGACAGUUAAAAUGUUGUCAUUGAUUGUCUAUUCUUUUAUUCUACUAUGUUUUAUGAUAUGGAUAAAGCCUGGCCAAUCAUUCUUCUGUUCUUCUUCUUCUUGUGACGAAAAUCUAGACUCAGAGUUCAUGGCUGCUAUCAAGUUGCGCCAUUAUAAAUGUGACGGAACAUUUGCGUACAUCUCCUAUUCAAUUACAGAGCCAGAAGAUAUAUUAAAUGCAUUAAGCAAUACAAAACGAACAAUUUUUUACAUUUUUGGAUUUACACAAUCUGCAGAUCACGAUGAUACCAAGUCAAUAAUAAGUGCGCUCUGUGACGAAGGAAAGGACAAUGUUGUGGUACUUGAUUGGAGCAAAUAUUCUGAUUUCCACUCCUUGUUUAGUUAUCCGUUUUCCGUUUUCCCAAAUGCCCAAAAAACAGGAAAAGCAUUCGCUAAAUGUUUAGGAAAACUUAUGGCAGCCGGUCUCGAUCCAUCCCAAAUUUAUGUCAUCGGGUUUUCAGCGGGCGCACACAUAGCUGGUCUCGCUGGUAGAUGCAGUAAGGAUUUCAAAAUACCUCGUAUCACAGGAUUGGAUCCUGCGAAUCCUUUUACCUCUUUAUUCGCGGGAUGUUAUCUUUCGUCUGACAAUGCGCUAAGUGUCGAUGUGAUCCAUACGGACAUGGGUUUAUAUGGCACUACUGAUGAUUCCCCAGAGACAGCAACAGCACAUUUCUUCGCAAAUGGAGGCCAUCGUUUUCAACCCAAGUGUCCAUCAGGCUUAUCUAUUUUUCCGUUCAGUCUGACUCUUGAAGAAUUUUGCAGUCACACAUCAGCAAUCCAGUAUUAUAUAGAAACGGUGAAAAAUCCUAACAAAUAUAUGGCGACAUGUAAAGAUCUUUCUCAAUGCGAGGGCGAGGAGCAUCAGCCAGUUGGAUACAACGCAAACAAUUAGAAAAAUGGCUUUUGUUGGUGACAAAUUCAUUAGCAAUGCCGAACAAACAUCAGAACUAAUCGCUUUAGUUCAUCGCAUAUGGUUAACAUCUCGAAAGAAAGAAGUUUGAUGGCCGUACAAAACUAAUUAUACACGAUUUAAAAAGGCAAUUUUUUUGGAGAAGAAGAACCAAACAAAGAGACAUAGAAGUUAUAUGACAUCGAACAUGAUUUUCUAUUGGUAGAUGAUUUUGAUAUAGCAAACAAAAUAUUGAAAAAAAUGUGAAGUUUUAUCAGACAGUCAUCUGCAUUGGAAGAUAUAUGAAUUAAACAAAGAAGGAAGCGUAAACGAAAUUCAAGAUACAUAUAUUCAAGCAAACAAAAACGACAACAGCUCUUAUUCACCGCCAAAAAUUUCUAAUAACGUAAGAAUAUAAUAAUUUUCAAUAAUACAUUUUGUAUGUACAAUUGGCUAAGUUUACCUAUCUUUACUAUUUAUUUUUAAUAUUUUAAAUACAUAUAAUUAACAUUUUAUUAAUUAGCUGUUACUUUGAAUGAUUAACGAUUAUAAUAAUUUUACUGACAAGAAUUAGAUUAUGCGUUGUGCCGUACUUUUUCGUUUUACGCAUGUAUUUAGAAAGCGUGGGUUUUAAAAGGCUGAUUUAAAAGUCCUCACACAUGUGAAUGUUUACGUCGCGGCGUUUACGCGUGUGAGACACAGCGGGAUAUCAGAUGGAGCUUACAAUUAGAUUUGAAACUCGGAUUCUCUUGAAGUAUAUGUAUCGUUAUCUAGUACGGAGUAAAACUUAGGCCGGUAGUUCCCGACAAAGGCAAGUAACGCCCUUAUCUCAUUUAGCAAUGCGAUUUGACUUUGCUCUAUGCAUGAUUACCAGAAGCAGCUGGCGGUGGUGAGUAGCUCUUCAUCAUCUUUUCUCGUCAUGUUGUAGAGUUUCGUGAACUUGAGAUCAGAAUGUGCAAUCUAGAGUUUCUAGACGGUGCAAUAAGCACACUCGCACGAGGAAAUCUGACUUACAAUCAGUUCGUCAAGUUUCGUCAUCUUAUGUGAAACAGUAUCAGGAUCGCAGCACUUGGCGUUUGGUGGUGUGUAAAAUAAUUAUAAUUACAGUCGAAUAUUUUUGAUUAUAACAAUAAUUGCUAUUAAACAAUUAAUAUUACGUGCGCUAAUGAUCUGCGCAAUGCUCAGAUAUUUUCGGCCGUUCUUGGCUACACCGCUUACUUGAUAUACCGUAUAUCGCUCACCCAACGCGAUCGCCGAGUGUUUACACGCUAACAAUUAAAUAAAAUAAUAAAGGGU